rnacentral:rRNA from 1 species
GAACGAUGCUUUCGGGCAUAGUGGCGCACGGGUGCGUAACGCGUGGGAAUCUGCCCUUUGGUCUGGGAUAACUGUUGGAAACGACAGGUAAUACCGGAUGAUGACGUAAGUCCAAAGAUUUAUCGCCAGAGGAUGAGCCCGCGUCGGAUUAUCUAGUUGGUGGGGUAAAGGCCUACCAAGGCGACGAUCCGUAGCUGGUCUGAGAGGAUGAUCAGCCACACUGGUGACUGAGACGCGGUCCAGACUCCUAGCGGAGGCAGCAGUGGGGAAUAUUGGACAAUGGGCGAAAGCCUGAUCCAGCAAUGCCGCGUGAGUGAUGAAGGCCUUAGGGUUGUAAAUCUCUUUUACCCGGGAUGAUAAUUACAGUACCGGGAGAAUAAGCUCCGGUCUACUCCGUG